rnacentral:sRNA from 1 species
GUUGGGCGUGGUGGCUCACGCCUGUAAUCCCAGCACUUUGGGAGGCUGAGGUGGGCGGAUCACCUGAGGUCAGGAGUUCGAGACCAGCCUGGCCAACAUGGUGAAACCCCAUCUCUA